rnacentral:rRNA from 1 species
CGAAAGCCUGACGGAGCAACGCCGCGUGAGGGAAGAAGGUCUUUGGAUUGUAAACCUCUUUUCUCAAGGAAGAAGUCAGUGACGGUACUUGAGGAAUCAGCAUCGGCUAACUCCGUGCCAGCAGCCGCGGUAAUACGGAGGAGGCAAGCGUUAUCCGGAAUGAUUGGGCGUAAAGCGUCCGCAGGUGGCGAUGCAAGUCUGCUGUCAAAACCCAGGGCUCAACUCUGGUCAGGCAGUGGAAACUACAAAGCUAGAGUCUGGUAGGGGCAAAGGGAAUUCCCGGUGUAGCGGUGAAAUGCGUAGAGAUCGGGAAGAACAUCGGUGGCGAAAGCGCUUUGCUAGACCAGAACUGACACUCAGGGACGAAAGCUAGGGGAGCG